UCCUUAACUUAUUUUUUGGUUUCGUUUUGGUCCCUUAACUAUUAAAAAUUUCGUUUUGGUCCCUUAACUAUUAAAAAUUUCAUUUUGGUCCCUUAACUCUUCCUCCGUCAACCACUUUGGUCCUUUAUGUUAGGAUAAGGGACCAAAACGAAACCAAAAAAUAAGUUAAGGGACCAAAACGAAACUUUUAAUAGUUAAGGGACCAAAACGAAACCAAAAAAUAAGUUAAGGGA
rfam:Medicago truncatula strain A17 chromosome 5, whole genome shotgun sequence.